UUUUUCAACCUUCAUCAGAAAUUCAUCAAUCCUUUCCAAGCAAAGUGUUUCACUCAAUCACUCAAGUGUUUCAGGAGGUUACCCUUCUCUCUACUAUUCACCUGUCACAUGCAACAAAAUUGACAUUCAUCUCAUACAAUCAACAUCUUUACAUAGAAAGGCCAUCACAAGGACUUUAUCAAGGCUUAUAAUAUGGUUGGGCUAACAAGAAACAUUGGUUUCUCAGAUCACAAAAUCCUUGAGUUAAGAGAGUUAUUCACAUAAUCAUAGUUCAAGUACAAACUCUCUUUUUUACCAAUCUCACUCAUUCCCAACUUUCCCUUUUUUCUUUUCUUUUACAUUGAGGUAACCUUUCAUGCUUUUUCUUUUCUUUUCUUUUCUUUCUUUUCUCAUGUUUUUUUCAUUCACCACUUGAACUCAAUGCCUUUCUUUUUGCCUUUCAAUUUCCCCCAACAACCCCAAACUUGAACCUUUUAUUAACAC
rnacentral:lncRNA from 1 species